UACGUAGGGGGCAAGCGUUGUCCGGAAUCAUUGGGCGUAAAGCGCGUGUAGGCGGCCCGAUAAGUCCGCUGUGAAAGUCCAGGGCUCAACCCUGGGAUGCCGGUGGAUACUGUCGGGCUCGAGUCCGGAAGAGGAGUGUGGAAUUCCAGGUGUAGCGGUGAAAUGCGUAGAUAUCUGGAGGAAUACCGGUGGCGAAGGCGGCAUCCUGGACCGACAUUGACGCUGA
rnacentral:rRNA from 1 species